rnacentral:rRNA from 1 species
UACGUAGGGUGCAAGCGUUGCCCGGAUUUAUUGGGCGAAAGGGCGCGUAGGCGGCUCUGCACGUCCUUGUGAAAUCGCCCGGCUCAACUGGGCGGGGUCAGCGGAUACGGCAGAGCUUGAGCAAGCUAGGGGGCAAUGGAAUUCCCGGUGUAGUGGUGGAAUGCGUAGAUAUCGGGAGGAACACCGACGGCGCAGGCAGCGUCCCUGGCCGCUUGCUGACACUGAGGCACGAAAGCUGGGGGAGCAAACAGG